CAGGCCUUGACAUCCAAUGAACUUCCCAGAGAUGGAUUGGUGCCUUCGGGACAGGGGAGACAGGUGGUGCAUGGUUGACGUCAGCUCGUGUCGUGAGAUGUUGGGUUAAGUCCCGCAACGAGCGCAACCCUUGUCCUUAGUUACCAGCACGUAAUGGUGGGCACUCUAGGGAGACUGCCGGUGACAAACCGGAGGAAGGUGGGAUGACGUCAAGUCAUCAUGGCCCUUACGGCCUGGGCUACACACGUGCUACAAUGGUCGGUACAGAGGGUUGCCAAGCCGCGAGGUGGAGCUAAUCCCACAAAACCGAUCGUAGUCCGGAUCGCAGUCUGCAACUCGACUGCGUGAAGUCGGAAUCGCUAGUAAUCGCGAAUCAGAAUGUCGCGGUGAAUACGUUCCC
rnacentral:rRNA from 1 species